rnacentral:tRNA from 1 species
UGGGGCGUGGCCAAGUGGUAAGGCGACGGGUUUUGGUCCCGGCACCCGGAGGUUCGAAUCCUUCCGUCCCAG